CAUCGUUCGCACUCCUCUCGAUCCCUCCAAAAAAAAGAGCUCCCACGCCCCACCUCCCGACCGACACGCCGCCGCGCUGCCAUGCCCCCCUCCUCCCCGCGCCGCCACGGUACCGUCCUCCCCGCCCCACCGCGGGCCCCCUCCUUCCUGUGUCGCUGCGCCCCGCUCCUCUCUGCGCCGCCGUGCCCCCCUCCUCUCCGUGCUGCCGCGCCCCCUCCUUCCCGUGCCGCCGCGGUCCCUCCCCCUGCCUCCGCGCCCUCCUCCUCCCCCACACGAGCCAGCUCCCAUCCUCCUCGGAUCCCGCCCCCAACCGCCACCCCCCGGCUCCGGUAGCCGCCCCACCUGUUCCUACCGCGGGUCUGACUGCGCAGAUCCGGCCGGCGUGGUUGGGCGGCGAGACUCACCGGGGUGGGUCUCCUCCGCCUCCGCCCCCACGCCGCGGGCCGCCGCCUCCGCCCCCCACGCCGUCGGGCGCCGCCUCCACCCCCACGCCGCGGGCCGCCGCCUCUGCACCCCACGUCGCGGGCCUCCGCCUCCGGCUGCAUGCCUUGGGCCGCCGCCUGCCUUCCCCCCGCUGUCGCUUACCGCCUCCCUCCCAAACAACGCCGCGGCUACCCCGUGCUUCCACCCCCCCCCCCCCCGCAGCUCUUUGCGCCGGGAUGGUCGCCCGCACUGUAUCGAUGCACCGCUGCCACAUGCAGGAAGUUCAACUCCACAAUCCGCGGCCGUUCUAUCUCGCUGCUAUUGGCGUGCCCCGCGCCAACUCCAUCGCCUCUGCUUCACUGGUAAAACAGUGCGACCUGAGGAACCACGGGGGUUCGAGGACGUCCAGUUCCGUAGUCCAAUUCGAUAUGAUUCACGUAAUCGAUAGCCCCCAUGUAGAAGCCCAGUAUGUAUUUUAUCAUCAGUUCUUAAAGGAAAGUUGAAUCAGUGUAGUGUGCGUGUUCAAAAAAUAAUUUCAGUUUUAUAUUUUAUAGAAAAUUUAUAAUAGUUCCCACUUUUCAGUCCAUCUACUUCCCGGUCACAAGUCCAAUUAGUAGAAAUUCAAAUAUGAAAAUAGCAUCCAUUUUUUUCUGGUAAUCAUCUUCAACCAAUUUGGUAUGUAUCAGACUUGCAUAUGUUAAUUAGUAGGGCAGAUCUCUGUUGUAUAAGAAGCUAGAUGUUGAUUUGCAAUUAUGCUGUGACUAUGCUGUGACAAAGCUAGAUGUAGAUCUCUUACUACAAUUCUUUGUUCUUUUCAUUCUAAAAAGGCUACCUUAGCAGCACAACUACACUUUUUUUUCCUUUUCAGCUCUCAAACUGCAGCCUAGUUUUGUUGUCAGUUCUCUGUUUUUGAUGGAUCUGAUAUGGUUAGCCCUAUCUAGUUUUUCUGUAUGUACAGUGCUCUAGCAAAAUUUGUUGCUUCUUUCUUGUAGUACUAAUGUUCUUGCUUCUCCAAUCGAAUGUUGCUCAGCUUCCUCCCAAUCCGCUUGAUCUCGUCUUGCUCCGAAGCAUGCUUCAGUUCGACAAUAAGCUCUAGAAAGGUUCAGAGUACUUUGCACUUCAGGUUGUGGUUGGUCAUGUGUUAUGAUGUGUUCAUCGCUAGUUCCUAUAGAGACGUACUCUAUGUGAACUUUUCUGUUAUAGCUAAUUGAUCGAACAUAUCUCAUAGUGAUGUGGUUCCUUCUCUGUAUUUCUUUUGCUGUGGUGCACUACCAUAUUUGCAGAAAAAAUAAGUUCUUUUGUGAGAGAAUUCAGUCUGGAAUCAUGGGAAAAAGAGGAUACAUUGAACUGGCUUUUUAUGGUUUGUCCAAUCUAUUUAAUUUGGUAUGUGUAGAAAAGAUGGUAUGUCUACAUACUAUCAUCUUGUUAGUUCCGAAUACUAUCAUUCUGGUAAGUUCAUAUGUUUUUGUUUUGAGAAGUGCAUAUCCCUCCAUGAAUACUAUCCUGGUGUCCUAGCCUCUUGAUAUGCCCAUGAGAACUGAUACAAUUUUUUCUGCAGGUUUCCUUGUUGAUUUAUGAGGGCUACACAAGUUUAAUUUUUACGGAAGUUGAACUCUAGGAUAUGGAGUUUGAUGGAUGUGGAGGUUGUGUCAAAUAUUUCUGGUUUAUGAAUUUUCUGAUUAAUACCAAGGAUCAGUGCCCUAGCCUAGCAUAUCAUAGAAAUGCCGGGUUGCAUGUCAGUGCAUACCUAUGGUCAUCGUCUUUGGACCAGGGUCCUUUUGUUUUGGUGUGGUAGCUUCUGGCUGCCCAUUCUUUAGUACUGGAGCAUAGCAUUCUGCGUUGUUUAAGCAAACAUUUAAAUUGUAUUACAAAUUUUUCUUCUUCCCUCUGUUCCACAAAAGAUUGUGUGUUCUUUUUUGAAUGUAUGUUAGAAAGAAGGGCAGAAAACAGUAGCAGAUAGAAAACAGUAGCAAAAGUUCAAAGUUCAAACUUUCAUCAGUCCAGUAUACAAAAAGCAACAAAAAGUUCACUCUAAAAAACACCAGUAAUGUUAUGAUCUGAAUUUCCUUUGGCCAGUCUUUUUUAGUCUGUAGCAAAUAGAGUUCCCUCCAGUUCACUGACGCCUGCGCCACCGGGUGCAGCCACUGUGAGGCGGCGCCAACAAGCAGUAUGCACGGAGGCGGAGCAUCCUUCUAGUGUGUUUGCUAGACAGGAACAAUGUGUUGAUGUCGAGAAAAACAGAGACAAGGUUAGGGGAUUUUGUUUUUGUCCUAAAGUAUUUAUCUGCAUGCAUAAGUUUGAAGAUUGUCAUAGAGCGAGUUCAAGUGUGGUAAAUCACGACGGGCGGUGAGAGUUCAUUUAAAUCACGACGUCUGAAUCGGGGUCAGCCCCUGCCACCAUGCUCCUUCACGGCCGGGUGGUCAUGAUGAUUAGCAGUAUGUACACAAAACAUCAAUGUUUGCUUGAUGGCCAUUCCUGAUCUACAUACUUAGGACCUGCACAAGUUUCGGCCAAGGAACCAUCAUCGGGCAGCAGGGUGUCCCCGGAGUUCUAUGCAACAACGGUCAUUGAACUCGGUAAGCCUUGCACAGAUAGCCUGUGCAAUGAUGAAUGCAUGAAGAUCUUUCCAGGUCCUGGCAACUGUGAGAAAGGCAAGUGCUUAUGGGGGUUUUGCUGAAGAAGAAAGGCCUAGCUUAACUGGCAUAGCAGUACUCAAAUCAGGUCUUGAUGUUGUGGAGGCUUUGGAUCUUUCCCUAGUUGCUUGACUCCAAUAAUAAUGCCUUUUGAGAUUGUACCAUUUUGGUCGUCCUUUGGCCUUGUAUCGAACUUCUAGUCAUCUUGUUACAUCAGUUCAAAAGCAUAGAGCUGGCACUGCUGUAGCGAUCUUGUCCGCGACCACAUGGAUCUUGUUCUGUUUAAUGUUGUUUGAUGUUCGUAGAUACA